UACAGAGGGGGCAAGCGUUGUUCGGAAUUACUGGGCGUAAAGGGCGCGUAGGCGGCCUGCUAAGUCGAACGUGAAAUCCCUGGGCUCAACCCAGGAACUGCGUCCGAUACUGGUUGGCUUGAAUCCGGGAGAGGGAUGCGGAAUUCCAGGUGUAGCGGUGAAAUGCGUAGAUAUUGGGAGGAACACCGGUGGCGAAGGCGGCUACCUGGACCGGUUCUGACGCUGAUGCGCGAAAGCGUGGGUAGCAAACAGG
rnacentral:rRNA from 1 species